GGAGGGGGGAUGGAGAGAGAGAGGUACGGGGGACUAGAGAAGAAAAAGAAAAAUUGCAACGGAUGAAAAAGAAAGAGGUCGGCUAAGGGCAAGAGAAAAACAGGGAGGCGGCGAAAAGGAAAAAACAGAGCAGGCUCUUGGAGUAAAAAAAAAAAUGAAAUAGAACAAGGACAAAGGGGGGGAUUGAAUCUGGAAAUUUGGGGAAACUGUCGAGAGGCAAAAUGAGAGAAACUGAGAGAGAUAGAACAGAACAGAGGCCAAAAUCUGAAAAUUGGAGGAAAAGGUUUCGACAGAACAGAGAAAGAACAAGAAAAAAGAAACAGAGGAGCGGCGGAUGAACAAAAAGGAAAAAAUCUGAAAAGGGAAAGGGGAGAAGAUGACCAACAACACCCAGCCAACGGCGGUCCCCGAUUCCAACCCCCAUCGCCACCUCUGCCAUCCGUCCCUUCGUUAACCGCUUCUCUUUCUCCCUCCGCCAGGGCUAUUCCUUUCGCCACCUCCGAGCUCUGCGCAGCACUUCCACCUCGUGCGCCGUCUAGCUACCUGACGCACUUCCCGACUCCAGCGCAGCCACCAGGAGGCAUAAACCCCUUCUCCACCUGCUCUUCUUCCGUGGAUGACCUGAGCAGCAACAGCAGCGAAGAUUUCCAAUUCUCCGAUUCAUUCGCUCCCUCCGUCGACCACCCCAACUUGCCAUUACCGCCUGCGAAGCUCCACCAAGAACAUUGUAAGCCAUUUUCUUCCCUUAACUUUCAGCUUGAUUUCUUCGAGUGCAAAUUCUGGAAAAAUCCCCAACCCCAAGCAUGUUUCUGUGAAUUGAUUUAUGCAGUUUUCUUGAUUGAUUGUCCGUUUUCUUUUUGAUUGUAAAUGCUCUAUGGGUUGAUUGGAAUGAUGUUUUACUUUGCAUUUCGACGAAAUUUUGGGUGCUGAUUUAUGAUAAUUGGGCGAGAAAUUGGUGAAAAUUUGUAAUGUCCGUUUGGUGUUCGACGGAAUGCCCAACCGAAAAUGCUACUAGAAAGCUGACUUCAUUUCUCUGCCAUGGCAUGUUCGUCCAUUUGGUUUUUCGUUUGAUCUGCAAUGACUGGCUUCCUACAGUGGGGUUGUGUAGACGUUGAAGUUUUAGGGGGGGGUUUGGAAACGAAUUUGCUGGAUUUGGUUUGGAAUUGUGAGUGUUGCUUGAAUAAGCUAUGAAAAUGGCGUCUGAAAAAUGGCAAAAACCCAACGAAGAAGAUGAAGUUCUGUAGCUUGAAGCUUCGUAGCUCGUCUGAAAAUAAUUCUGAAAACCCCCUUAAUUGUUACCUAAUUUCCCUGUCGCCCCAAAACCUCCAUAAGUCCUUCAAUUAGAUCCUUAUUUCUGUUGCAUAUGAACCCCUCAAGUUCCCCCCC
rnacentral:lncRNA from 1 species